rnacentral:rRNA from 1 species
GGUGUGGCGAAGCUGAGAACUUAAGCGCCAGUAAACGGCGGUGGUAACUAUAACCAUCCUAAGGUAGCGAAAUUCCUUGUCGGGUAAGUUCCGACCUGCACGAAUGGCGUAACGACUUCUCGACUGUCUCAACCAUAGGCCCGGUGAAAUUGCAUUACGAGUAAAGAUGCUCGUUUCGCGCAGCAGGACGGAAAGACCCCGGGACCUUUACUACAGUUUGAUAUUGGUGUUCGGUUCGGCUUGUGUAGGAUAGGUGGGAGACUGUGAAGCAUGCACGCCAGUGUGUGUGGAGUCGUCGUUGAAAUACCACUCUGGUCGUGCUGGAUGUCUAACCUGGGUCCGUGAUCCGGAUCAGGGACAGUGUCUGAUGGGUAGUUUAACUGGGGCGGUUGCCUCCUAAAGAGUAACGGAGGCGCCCAAAGGUUCCCUCAGCCUGGUUGGUAAUCAGGUGUUGAGUGUAAGUGCACAAGGGAGCUUGACUGUGAGACCGACGGGUCGAGCAGGGACGAAAGUCGGGACUAGUGAUCCGGCGGUGGCUUGUGGAAGCGCCGUCGCUCAACGGAUAAAAGGUACCCCGGGGAUAACAGGCUGAUCUUCCCCAAGAGUCCAUAUCGACGGGAUGGUUUGGCACCUCGAUGUCGGCUCGUCGCAUCCUGGGGCUGGAGUCGGUCCCAAGGGUUGGGCUGUUCGCCCAUUAAAGCGGUACGCGAGCUGGGUUUAGAACGUCGUGAGACAGUUCGGUCCCUAUCCGCUGUGCGCGUAGGAAUAUUGAGAAGGGCUGUCCCUAGUACGAGAGGACCGGGACGGACGAACCUCUGGUGUGCCAGUUGUUCUGCCAAGGGCAUGGCUGGUUGGCUACGUUCGGGAGGGAUAACCGCUGAAAGCAUCUAAGCGGGAAGCCUGCUUCGAGAUGAGUAUUCCCACCUCCUUGAGAGGGUAAGGCUCCCAGUAGACGACUGGGUUGAUAGGCCGGAUAUGGAAGCCCUGUAAGGGGUGGAGUUGACCGGUACUAAUAGGCCGAGGGCUUGUCCUCAGUUG